ensembl:lncRNA
ACUAUGUGCUGCUGUCCGUCAACCGCCUCAUAUAUAGUGCAUGCAAGAAAAUGUGGAGCAGUUCAAUAACUUGUGUCGUCGCCAGACUUGUGUGUGCGCGUGUGUGUGUGAAGGAAGUGGGGGGUGCAUGCAUGUGGGAAUGCAUGUGCUUGUUUAUCUGUGUAAAAGCACGGAAGGAACGGGAGGUAGGGAGGGUGAGAGAGGGGGAGAGAUUUGUAAGGCACUUGUAUUUGCAAACUACUGGCUGAGUUCCCACUAGAGGCAGAGAGAUCACGCUGAAAGACUGCGUGUCAGGAGUGUGUGUGUGUGUGUGUGGGAGAGACAUGCAGACAGUGAGCGAGAGGAACCCGUUCAACUCAUUUCAGCAGUGAAUUCUCAGCCCGUCUAAACGAGCUUUCUCCUCACAUAUGGAAGCUUUUUGCUCUCGCGUUUGAUUUUUCCCUCCUAACGUCGCCACAGUUUCACGCUGCCGCUGAACUUUUGGUCGCACUUGACGCUGAACGUGACAGCAGCGCCGGCUCAGCGCAGACACUCCAGUUUUCUCGGUAGUUUAGUGAAAACGAAGACGAUGGCGCUCAUCGUGUCUGCGGGGCUAUUAAAGGAAACCACAACCUUUGCAUCACCGCCUCUCCUCGCUCGCUCCUGCCGGCUUCUCGUCACUCGAGGUUGCACGCCAACAAGGGUGGUAACGUGCUUUGGCAUGGAGGUGCUCCACGCAGGCCAAGACAAACACAGCAGCGCACACUGACAGACACCGAGGCUUGUGAAACAGCACAGCUUGUCGUUUUUGUGGGAAAUUACCUUCAAAGCUUCAUCUGAUUGUUUGGCGAUUCCCUGAAUCCUGGCUCUGUGUGAACAUCGAGGACGCCGCUUUGCAUUUAUUUAGCAUUACUGUUAUGUUGUGGCGACUGUUCCCUCGGUGCGGGCAGUCACAGCGUAGGCAGGGGGCUCGGAGUGUCGCCUAAAGCGGUCCUCCCACCACGAUCCAGACGCCGAAUUCCACAACCCGAGUUUUCCAUUACUAACUGAAAGCCUCAGCGAUACUUCUGCUCCUGUUUGUUAAUGUCGCCUCGUUUCCUUUAGCCAGGCUGGAAAUACAACGAGCUACAAAGUCAGUCAUACUUCACGACAUUCCAGGAAUUCCAAGGCUGGAAGCGAGCCUGUCAGGGACAGAACGGACAUGGCUGCUGUGGGGGGCUUUUGUAAUUACACAACCAGCACCCAAAUAUAUUAUGACUUCAGUUUAUAAUCACCUUAAAUAUGAUUAAAUAUAUACACUUUUUUAAGGGUUGAGCCUUAUUUCCAUAUGUCACUGGAGGAGACGCAGACAUGUGGGAAUGCUGUAACUGUAAGGUUAUGUUAACAUGCUGGGAAAUUUCAAACACACUGAUGUUUUUCCAGCCAGAGUAGACCCCAA